rnacentral:rRNA from 1 species
CUUUCAACAACGGAUCUCUUGGUUCUCGCAUCGAUGAAGAACGCAGCGAAAUGCGAUAAGUAAUGUGAAUUGCAGAAUCCAGUGAAUCAUCGAAUCUUUGAACGCACCUUGCGCCCUUUGGCAUUCCAAAGGGCAUGCCUGUUUGAGUGUCA